ACAUCCUGCCCGGGCUUCAUCUGCAGUACCUGAAUUCAAAACCCCAGAUAAAGAACAAGCAAGUGCAACAUCAGAUGAUGACUCUGAGGUGGAGGUUAUGAAUGUCAGGGAAGCCACUGCUGAACAGUCUGCUUUAGCCAAGAAACUCCUGCUGCCUCUUACUUUCUUCUGCUACCAGAACGAACCAGGCUACACCAGCAAUGAGCAAUCUGAUGAUGAGGACUACGAGUCAGCUGUGAAAGCCUUGAAUGGAAAGCUCUACCCAGAUCCUACGAGAAGAAAAGCAGCGGCGUGU